UAUCGUGUUUUGUGCAGUGUUUAGUAACCCAUAACCAAACCAAUUAGCAAUCUAAUCAUUAUGCCACGUUCUAGAUUAUCCGAUGAACAAGGAGAAAUUAUACAAGAGGAGCGCCGCUUUAGUAUUCAACGAGGAAGGGCAUUAAUUCGUGCUUCUCAAACACAAGAGCAUAGAGGACAGCCUAUGAAACGGCUGUUAGAAAGGUUAGAAAGGAGAAAUCUUCGAGCCUAUCGUACAGAUGAGCAUAGGAAUAAUCUUCAAAGUGCAAGAAGAAAUGGUUCAAGAAUAGAUUUGAGUCGAGCAGACUUUCUAUAUGAUUGCACCAUCGACUACAGCUUGCAUCGAUUAGUUUGUGGCAUUGUGGCUCAUUGAAGUUUGCUGGUAAAACAACUGAUUUGUGCCGCCUUAGUGGUAAAGUAAAAUUGUUAUUAUUGGUCCCGCCAACAGUGCCAUUGUGUUUCCUACUUUAUGGCGAAAUACUAGAAAUAUGACAUUUUCUAGCGAACACUUCAAAAUACAAUGUCUGCUUCCAAGUGACUUCAUUUGGGGCUGAAAUUAUCGAAGAACAUGUUAUAAUCCAACAUUUAAGGUAAUUUUACGUUAAAAAAAAUUGUUUGUAAGAUACAAGAUCUGCAGUUAUGAUCAGAGCAGAUAAAAAACCUGCUAGAACACAUGAACGCACAUUUAAUGAUCCAACAAUGGAUGAAGUGGAAAUGUUUAUUGUUGGUGACGUUCAUAUGACGCGUUUCAAUACCCGCUGAUGUUCUGGCAAGGGGACGAUGAAUAUAACUUUAAUAUCAAAAUGAAAUAUUUAUUGAAUGGAUAGGAAACUACCAAGAAGGUUAGGUCGAUGAAAUACUACGCAUACCGUUUGCUGAUUCGUAAAAUUUUUGACAAUUAUUACUUCAACAAUAUUGUGUUUACAUGUCGAAACAAUACGUAGUACCUUAAUUUUAUUCGGUUGAAUCAAGGUAUUUUAAACUCCUUGAAUGUGCAGGGUUAAUGCUUAGAAAUUUAAACCAACCAAAACUGUGCAUUGGAAAGCGUUUGUUAAUAAGAAAACUGAUGAUCAAUACUUAAAGAAAAAUUUAAAGAUGAGGAAAAUCGUAUUCCAAGGAUCCCGAUUCGUCUUUUCUUCGCCAUGACGAUCAACAAAUCACAGGACCAAUCCUUGACUAGUUGUGGCCUUAAUCUAAAAAAUUCAUGUUUUCACCAAAAAACAAAUGUCGUUUA